GACGAACGCUGGCGGGAUGCCUUACACAUGCAAGUCGAACGGAGUGGCGAACGGGUGAGUAAUGUAUCGGAACGUGCCCAGUAGCGGGGGAUAACUACGCGAAAGCGUAGCUAAUACCGCAUACUAUUGGAGCGGCCGAUAUCGGAUUAGAUAGUUGGUGGGGUAACGGCUCACCAAGGCGACGAUCCGUAGCUGGUUUGAGAGGGCGACCAGCCACACUGGGACUGAGACACGGCCCAGACUCCUACGGGAGGCAGCAGUAGGGAAUUUUGGACAAUGGGCGAAACCCUGAUCGAGCCAUCCCGCGUGUGCGAUGAAGGCCUUCGGGUUGUAAAGCACUUUUGGCAGGGAAGCGGUACCUGCAGAAUAAGCACCGGCUAACUACGUGCCAGCCGCCGCGGUAAUUC
rnacentral:rRNA from 1 species